UACGUAGGGUGCAAGCGUUAAUCGGAAUUACUGGGCGUAAAGCGUGCGCAGGCGGUUCGGUAAGAAAGAUGUGAAAUCCCAGGGCUUAACCUUGGAACUGCAUUUUUAACUGCCGGGCUAGAGUAUGUCAGAGGGGGGUAGAAUUCCACGUGUAGCAGUGAAAUGCGUAGAGAUGUGGAGGAAUACCGAUGGCGAAGGCAGCCCCCUGGGAUAAUACUGACGCUCAUGCGCGAAAGCGUGGGGAGCAAACAGG
rnacentral:rRNA from 1 species